UCAAUUCCCGGCAUCACCAAUUGAGAAGACUGGGAAAGACCUCUGUGUGUCUUUCCCAGUCUUCUCAAUUGGUGAUGCCGGGAAUUGA